UGGGGAAUAUUGCACAAUGGGCGCAAGCCUGAUGCAGCCAUGCCGCGUGUGUGAAGAAGGCCUUCGGGUUGUAAAGCACUUUCAGCGGGGAGGAAGGCGUUAAGGUUAAUAACCUUUGCUCAUUGACGUUACCCGCAGAAGAAGCACCGGCUAACUCCGUGCCAGCAGCCGCGGUAAUACGGAGGGUGCAAGCGUUAAUCGGAAUUACUGGGCGUAAAGCGCACGCAGGCGGUUUGUUAAGUCAGAUGUGAAAUCCCCGGGCUCAACCUGGGAACUGCAUCUGAUACUGGCAAGCUUGAGUCUCGUAGAGGGGGGUAGAAUUCCAGGUGUAGCGGUGAAGUGCGUAGAGAUCUGGAGGAAUACCGGUGGCGAAGGCGGCCCCCUGGACGAAGACUGACGCUCAGGUGCGAAAGCGUGGGGAGCAAACAGG
rnacentral:rRNA from 1 species